AAAUAUUUCCAUCAUGAUAGUGUUGGUGAUCUGAUGGUGCAUUAAUGAUUACGUAAUUAACCAAUUUAAGUUAUCUACAUGUAGAUCCAGGAGUUCAAUGAUGUUAACAGCAACUACAAAAUAUCUAUUCCAAGUACACAGGCUGGUGGUCUGGGUAUCAACCUUACUACAACAGAUACUUAUUAGCUCUAUGGUAGCAAUUGGGCCAUGGAUAGGUGGCACUGAAUAGGUCAAUUGAAAUCUAUACAUGUUUGCAAACUUGCAACAGCUGAUCAAUCUAUAGAGGUAGCUUGCUGAUGGUCUUAAUUUUUUGUUGGUAUAUUCAUGAUGGUAUUCAUCAGUAUUCUGUGGAAUUGACUUAACAAGUCGUAUUAUAAAGAGGGCUUUUAGUAAGUUGAAGCUUGAGCACCACGUGGUCAUCGAAAAAGGCCAACUCCACCAGGAGCGAACAAAACCCAAUGCUGCAAACAUUGAUAAGAUUUCAAGGAGUUAAGAAUAACGAUCGGUGAGACCUUAACCUUGAAGUUAUCUAAGAGUGUUGUGGUGCUUGGAGGAGGGUGAUGUCUCUGUUUCUUAUUAUUACAUAUACUUUGUGUUUUAUGAUUAAGAACGAUGAUCAUAGCUCGUUUUGUAAUAUGAAUGAUGUUUCUUCUUGUUAUAUAUACUUUGUG